AGGGGGAGGGCAGAAGAUUCCCGUAGGAUUUCAGUUCUUUAUCCGCCAACUGUGAGUAUCUCAAGCAGAAAAGAGGUAGUUGCCGAAAAUGAGAUUGCUUCCAUUGUUUGUAAAGCAGACAGCAAUCCUCCAUCCACAAUCAACUGGUAUAAACACCCAGAUCUAAAUAAGGUUAUACAUACUGGAGAAAACCUUACUCUACCUAUUAACAG